UACGGAGGGUGCAAGCAUUAAUCGGAAUUAUUGGGCGUAAAGGGCGCGUAGGUGGAUAGAAAAGUCUGAUGUGAAAUACCGGAGCUCAACUUCGGAACUGCAUUAGAAACUCUUUAUCUAGAGGGUAGGUGGAGAAAACGGAAUUCCAAGUGUAGCGGUGAAAUGCGUAGAUAUUGGGAAGAACACCGGUGGCGAAGGCGGCUCUCUGGACCGAUACUGACGCUGAGGCGCGAAAGCGUGGGGAGCAAACAGG
rnacentral:rRNA from 1 species